AUGUUCCUACGGGGGGCAGCAGUGGGGAAUAUUGCACAAUGGGGGAAACCCUGAUGCAGCGACGCGGCGUGAAUGAAGAAGUAUUUCGGUAUGUAAAGCUCUAUCAGCAGGGAAGAAAAUGACGGUACCUGACUAAGAAGCCCCGGCUAACUACGUGCCAGCAGCCGCGGUAAUACGUAGGGGGCAAGCGUUAUCCGGAUUUACUGGGUGUAAAGGGAGCGUAGACGGCAGCGCAAGUCUGAAGUGAAAUCCCAUGGCUU
rnacentral:rRNA from 1 species